CUGGGGAAGAGUCCGAGCAACAGGGGGACAAUAUGGAGGACUUCGGGACUGAAAGCGAAGACCCCGAGCCUGAGGAGGGAGACCCUGGCCCAGGGUUGGAGGGUGCCAGAUCCCCUCCGGAUGUAAAUGUAAAUAAAGAUACUAUAGGUGAUGACAUUCCGAGAGAUGUAAGUCCCUUGAGGACUGUUUUUCCUUCAAACCCAUCAGAUAAAUAAGUUGUACUAUCUUCUUCUUCUAAUGAAAGUUUAAUUUCUUUUACUUGAACUAUUGUUGCUUUUGUUUUAUUCUUGAACUUAUCUUUUCUUAUCGUAACUGGAGCACUUAAUCUUCAUAUCUCGUGAUUUAUAUUUUACUAAGAUAUUUCACUAAGAAAUUUUGUUCAUGAGCCUUUUCCUAUCUGAACUAGUCGAGCUGGAUUAUUUUUAGCCAUGAGCUCGGUUUUCAGAUCACGUACCUUUUGAUGGUGAAUAACAGGGCUGAUUUUUUGCCUUUAAUUCUGUCUCGACGGGGAUUGGAGCUGAGGUAUUCUCUGUUUCAUGCCAUUGGAUUUCCCUCGGAGUGCCCCUUUACUUCCUCAAUAUUUAUUACAUGAGUAGUGAGGGAGUGAAUCUCUGUAUUUUAUUUGUGCUCGCAUGGCCUCCCCUUAGGCGAUUUUACUUUGCCUUUUUUAGUUGUAAGGUCGGCUGUCUGGUCCUUGCCUUUCUGCGUGCUCCACUGGGACGGGGAGGUCGGCUUUUGUCGUUUUUUCUUUUUGUUUGGG
rnacentral:lncRNA from 1 species